UACGUAGGGAGCAAGCGUUGUUCGGAUUUACUGGGCGUAAAGGGCGCGUAGGCGGCGUUGUAAGUCACUUGUGAAAUCUCUGAGCUUAACUCAGAACGGCCAAGUGAUACUGCAGUGCUAGAGUGCAGAAGGGGCAAUCGGAAUUCUUGGUGUAGCGGUGAAAUGCGUAGAUAUCAAGAGGAACACCUGAGGUGAAGACGGGUUGCUGGGCUGACACUGACGCUGACAGCGCGAAAGCUAGGGGAGCAAGCGGG
rnacentral:rRNA from 1 species